AGACCUAGAACACCAUUGGUGUAGGUAAAGUAAAANCAUUUGAGCGAGAAUAGUACUAGGAUGGGUGACCUCCUAGGAAGUCCUCGUGAAAGGGUUUC
rnacentral:rRNA from 1 species